GUCCACGCCCUAAACGAUGAUGACUAGUUGUUGGGGGAGUUAAAUCCCUUAGUAACGCAGCUAACGCGUGAAGUCAUCCGCCUGGGGAGUACGGUCGCAAGAUUAAAACUCAAAGGAAUUGACGGGGGCCCGCACAAGCGGUGGAUGAUGUGGUUUAAUUCGAUGCAACGCGAAAAACCUUACCUACCCUUGACAUGUCAGGAACGCUGCAGAAAUGCAGCGGUGCCCGAAAGGGACCUGAACACAGGUGCUGCAUGGCUGUCGU
rnacentral:rRNA from 1 species